CCUACGGGAGGCUGCAGUGGGGAAUAUUGGACAAUGGGCGAAAGCCUGAUCCAGCCAUGCCGCGUGUGUGAAGAAGGCCUUCGGGUUGUAAAGCACUUUCAGUGGGGAAGAAAGCCUUGGGGCUAAUACCCUCGAGGAAGGACAUCACCCACAGAAGAAGCACCGGCUAACUCCGUGCCAGCAGCCGCGGUAAUACGGAGGGUGCGAGCGUUAAUCGGAAUUACUGGGCGUAAAGCGCGCGUAGGCGGUCUGAUAAGCCGGUUGUGAAAGCCCCGGGCUCAACCUGGGAACGGCAUCCGGAACUGUCAGGCUAGAGUGCAGGAGAGGAAGGUAGAAUUCCCGGUGUAGCGGUGAAAUGCGUAGAGAUCGGGAGGAAUACCAGUGGCGAAGGCGGCCUUCUGGACUGACACUGACGUUGAGGUGCGAAAGCGUGGGUAGCAAACAGGAUUAGAUACCCGAGUAGUC
rnacentral:rRNA from 1 species